rnacentral:rRNA from 1 species
UCGGGAUAACACCUGGAAACAGAUGCUAAUACCGGAUAACAACAGAUGAUGCCUAUCAACUGUUUAAAAGAUGGUUCUGCUAUCACUCUUGGAUGGACCUGCGGUGCAUUAGCUAGUUGGUAGGGUAACGGCCUACCAAGGCGAUGAUGCAUAGCCGAGUUGAGAGACUGAUCGGCCACAUUGGGACUGAGAUACGGCCCAGACUCCUACGGGAGGCAGCAGGC